AGAACGAACGCUGGCGGCAGGCCUCAAACAUGCAAGUCUAGGGGGCGUAGCAAUACGUCACCGGCGGACGGGUGCGUAACACGUGGGAAUGUACUUACUGGUUCGGAACAACUCAGGGAAACUUGAGCUAAUACCGAAUGUGCCCGAAAGGGGAAAGAUUUAUCGCCAGUAAAUCAGCCCGCGUCCAAUUAGCUAGUUGGCGGGGUAAAGGCCCACCAAGGCGACGAUCGGUAGCUGUUCUGAGAGGAAGAUCAGCCACACUGGGACUGAGACACGGCCCAGACUCCUACGGGAGGCAGCAGUUGGGAAUCUUGGACAAUGGGGGAAACCCUGAUCCAGCCAUGCCGCGUGAGUGAUGAAGGCCUUCGGGUUGUAAAACUCUUUCGACGGGGACGAUAAUGACGGUACCCGUAGAAGAAGCUCCGGCUAACUUCGUGCCAGCAGCCGC
rnacentral:rRNA from 1 species